rnacentral:rRNA from 2 species
GUCGAGCGAACUGAAUUAAGAAGCUUGCUUCUAUGACGUUAGCGGCGGACGGGUGAGUAACACGUGGGCAACCUGCCUGUAAGACUGGGAUAACUUCGGGAAACCGAAGCUAAUACCGGAUAGGAUCUUCUCCUUCAUGGGAGAUGAUUGAAAGAUGGUUUCGGCUAUCACUUACAGAUGGGCCCGCGGUGCAUUAGCUAGUUGGUGAGGUAACGGCUCACCAAGGCAACGAUGCAUAGCCGACCUGAGAGGGUGAUCGGCCACACUGGGACUGAGACACGGCCCAGACUCCUACGGGAGGCAGCAGUAGGGAAUCUUCCGCAAUGGACGAAAGUCUGACGGAGCAACGCCGCGUGAGUGAUGAAGGCUUUCGGGUCGUAAAACUCUGUUGUUAGGGAAGAACAAGUACGAGAGUAACUGCUCGUACCUUGACGGGACCUAACCAGAAAACCCCGGCUAACUACGUGCCCACCGCCCCGGUAAUACCUA